GAGGACUGUUUUCAGUGAUAGGCCCUUAGAUAUGCAACUCAAGCCUCCAGCUACCCUAGCAGGUAACUUCUGGAGCAUACUGCAGAACUUCUACUUUGAAAUUCACCCCUAUGUAAAACAAAUAUUCAUGAACCCUUAGGAACCAUUUAAGAAGUACAGAAGAACAAACAGAAAGGCUUUGCUUUUUCCUAAUGAGAUCCAUCCUUCAGAACGUUAUCUGUCCUACUAGCUAACCUCAGCACAAGUUAUUUAUUUUUCCCAAAAAAUCUCUCUAGUCAUGGCCUUUUUUAACUAAUAAAAAGGAAAGAGUGACAGCCUGAGUAGGUGUUUAAGUAGUGGGUGUUGGUAGAUGCCUCCUUCUCCCUUUCAUCACAGAGCUUAUCAGGUGGGGAAGCCCCAGACCAUUUUACCACAAUAAGGAUUUUUCUACAAAUCUGCUAGAAGUGGAGUCAUUAAUAGAGGGGAGAUAAGGAGAGAAAAAAGAUUUAUCUUCAUACAGCUUACUUAAGACCAAGAAUAUGUCUGGAUACAGCCUAAGUAUGAAGUUAUAAGCUCCAUUAAUUAAAAAGGCAUGAGGAAGCAAAACUGAAGCUGGAAACCAUGGAGCUCAAGGUCACACCAAUGAGGACAAACCAAUUAAUGGAAAAACUAAAAGUGUGUAGGACUGAAUGUGUUGACCAUGAAAACUGGACUGCUUCAGCUACAAAGGUAACAUAUAACAGCAUGGGUGACUGGUGCCUCUUGAGUCUGGGGGGCACCCGCAGAAGCCAGCAUCAGCAAUGGGGACGAGGCUGGUGAGCAGCCACAGAAGCCACCAGUGGCAUCAACAGUGGGGGGGGGGGGGGCGCUGCCUCCCUUUUCCCCCCCUACCAGUCACCUAUGGAUAACAGUGACCAAGGUAUCAAGAUGGAGAUCUACAGGCCUUUAGCCAUGAAAAACAAGGCAACAUCUUAAGCAAGAUUUGAUGGAGAUAAUUAAAAUACAGUUGUGAAUAAGAUCUGCCAGAACUAUGGAGAGUCUGGAGAUGCUAAAUGAAAUUAUCCACUGGCAAUCCCUCUGUCCCUGCCCCAUCACCAGUAAACAAACAAACAAAAGCAAAAACACUCAUAUUCUUGUUUCAGCAUCUCCAGCAGAGUGUUAACUAUCUAAUUGCAAAUACUAGCAUACUGAGUUAUCAGAGUACUAUUAUGGGAUUCUCAGAAAGGCUGAAGGAUUCUCCUGUGAGAUCCUAAUUGACUUUAUAGGUUCCACAGAAAAUGUGGACUCCAAAGUUGUGGAAGAAAGUUUUCCAGAGAAAGACCACAGAAAUGAGCUCUCUACUUUGAGAUAGUUGGAACUGCAAAAAGCCUAAGGCAGAAUGAAAUAUAAAAAAAAAUAAUAAUAAUAAAAAAAUAAAAUUUGGCAUGGAAUUCUGAUCAAGAAUCAUUGUUUAGGACUGAU